AGCGAACGCUGGCGGCAGGCCUAACACAUGCAAGUCGAGCGGGAACUUCCGGGUGUCCGCGGCGGACGGGUGUGUAACGCGUGGGAACGUGCCUCCCGGCUCGGAAUCACCCAGGGACACUUGAGCUAAUACCGGAUACGCCCUUUUGGGGAAAGGCUUGCUGCCGGAGGAUCGGCCCGCGUCUGAUUAGCUAGUUGGUGAGGUAACGGCCCACCAAGGCGACGAUCAGUAGCUGGUCUGAGAGGAUGAUCAGCCACACUGGGACUGAGACACGGCCCAGACUCCUACGGGAGGCAGCAGUGGGGAAUAUUAGACAAUGGGCGCAAGCCUGAUCCAGCCAUGCCGCGUGAGUGAUGAAGGCCUUAGGGUUGUAAAGCUCUUUUAUCCGGGACGAUAAUGACGGUACCAGAGGAAUAAGCCCCGGCUAACUUCGUG
rnacentral:rRNA from 1 species